GUCGGAAUGGCCGAGCGGUCUAAGGCUACAGGUUGCAGUCUCCAUUGGAGGCGUGGGUUCAAAUCCCACUUCUGACA